rnacentral:rRNA from 1 species
UACGUAGGGGGCGAGCGUUAUCCGGAUUCACUGGGUGUAAAGGGAGCGUAGACGGCCAAGCAAGCCAGGGGUGAAAGCCCGGGGCCCAACCCCGGGACUGCCCUUGGAACUGCAUGGCUGGAGUGCGGGAGGGGCAGGCGGAAUUCCUGGUGUAGCGGUGAAAUGCGUAGAUAUUAGGAGGAACACCAGUGGCGAAGGCGGCCUACUGGACGGUGACUGACGCUGAGGCUCGAAAGCGUGGGGAGCAAACAGG